rnacentral:rRNA from 1 species
UCGAGCGCGAUAAGGGCAUUCGGUGGAUGCCUUGGCACCAGGAGGCGAUGAAGGACGUGGCACGCUGCGAAAAGCCAUGGGGAGCCGCGAGCAGGCUUUGAUCCGUGGAUAUCCGAAUGGGGCAACCCACCCCUUUGGGGUAUCUCCAUCUGAAUACAUAGGGUGGAGAGGCAAACCCGGGGAACUGAAACAUCUCAGUACCUGGAGGAAAAGACAUCAACAGAGAUUCCGCUAGUAGUGGCGAGCGAACGCGGAACAGGCCAGUGGUUUUUACGACGCAAGCAGAACGGUCUGGAAAGUCCGGCCAAAGCGGGUGAUAGCCCCGUAUGCGUAAUGGCGUAAAAAUCCUUGAGUAGGGCGGGACACGUGAAAUCCUGUCUGAACAUGGGGGGACCACCCUCCAAGCCUAAAUACUCCCUGGUGACCGAUAGUGAACAAGUACCGUGAGGGAAAGGUGAAAAGCACCCCGACGAGGGGAGUGAAAUAGACCUGAAACCGAAUGCCUACAAGCAGUCGGAGCCGCUUAUGCGGUGACGGCGUACCUUUUGUAUAAUGGGUCAGCGAGUUUCUGUCGGCAGCAAGCUUAAGCCGUUAGGUGUAGGCGCAGCGAAAGCGAGUCUGAAUAGGGCGUUCAGUUGCCGGUAGAAGACCCGAAACCGAGUGAUCUAGCCAUGGCCAGGCUGAAGGUGCGGUAACACGCACUGGAGGGCCGAACCCACGCCUGUUGAAAAAGUCGGGGAUGAGCUGUGGCUAGGGGUGAAAGGCCAAUCAAACUCGGAGAUAGCUGGUUCUCCGCGAAAUCUAUUGAGGUAGAUCGUCAUGUGUUUACCCCGGGGGGUAGAGCACUGGAUGGGCUAGGGGGACCCAAAGUCUUACCAAACCUAACCAAACUCCGAAUACCCGGGAGUAUAGCGUGGCAGACAGACGGCGGGUGCUAAGGUCCGUCGUCGAGAGGGAAACAGCCCAGACCACCAGCUAAGGUCCCCAAAUCGUGGCUAAGUGGGAAAGGAUGUGGGAAUUCCAAAACAACCAGGAGGUUGGCUUAGAAGCAGCCAUCCUUUAAAGAAAGCGUAAUAGCUCACUGGUCUAAUAGAAAUCCUGCGCCGAAGAUGUAACGGGGCUCAAGCCACGUACCGAAGCUGUGGGUUUGCAAGUGUAGCAACUUGCAAGCGGUAGCGGAGCGUUCCGUAAGCCUGCGAAGGGAUAUCGGGUGACCGGUCCUGGAGGUAUCGGAAGUGCGAAUGCUGACAUGAGUAGCGACAAACAGAGUGAGAAACUCUGUCGCCGAAAGUCCAAGGGUUCCUGCGCAAGGUUAAUCCGCGCAGGGUGAGCCGGCCCCUAAGGCGAGGGCGAAAGCCGUAGUCGAUGGGAACCAGGUGAAUAUUCCUGGGCCUGCUAGAAGUGACGGAUACGAAGUGUUGUCCUGACUUAUCGGAUUGUUGGGGCUUUCUAAGUAUUCCAGGAAAUAGCUCUAGCAUAUAGACCGUACCCUAAACCGACACAGGUGGACUGGUAGAGUAUACCAAGGCGCUUGAGAGAACGAUGCUGAAGGAACUAGGCAAAUUGCCCGCGUAACUUCGGGAUAAGCGGGACCCAUUGGUGGGCAACCAUUGGUGGGUGGCACAGAGCAGGGGGUAGCGACUGUUUAGUAAAAACACAGGGCUCUGCGAAGUCGAGAGACGACGUAUAGGGUCUGACGCCUGCCCGGUGCCGGAAGGUUAAGAGGAGGUGUGCAAGCACUGAAUUGAAGCCCCGGUAAACGGCGGCCGUAACUAUAACGGUCCUAAGGUAGCGAAAUUCCUUGUCGGGUAAGUUCCGACCUGCACGAAUGGCGUAACGACUUCCCCACUGUCUCCAG